rnacentral:rRNA from 1 species
UUGGCCCUCUCAAAAGCCAAUAACCCCAAGCUUGUCUUCCUGUGUGAAACUAGGCAAGCGACUGUGAAAGUAGAGAAGCUGUGAUGGAGACUCGGUCUGAAAGGUUUUCAUGGAGUGAGUAGUGAUGGGAGGAGUGGGGGCUUAGCAGUGUUCUGGGAUGAGUCCCUCUCUGUCACGGUGAUUGAUUCUUGCAAUCGUUUUAUUGAUGUCAGUGUGGUCGAUGGAGGGUCGGGCACGUCUUGGCGGGGCACCUUUGUCUAUGGAGAGCCGCGGGUGGAAAAUCGUCAUCGCAUGUGGGAGCACCUAUGCAGACUUCGAGCUCACUCGCAUGAGCCGUGGAUGGUGUGUGGCGACUUCAAUGAGGCUUUGUGGCAACAUGAGCAUCUGUCAAGGACCGAGUGCUUGGAGGCUCAGAUGACUGCCUUCAGAGACUGCCUAGAGAUGUGCGAGCUCUAG